GACAAUUAACAUUAACCACUUCAAGGGUUAAUCUGCCUGUUCUACCAGCAGCAUGGGGCUACGUCUCCGUCUCCAUCGGGCUCUCUGAUUGGACGCCUCAGAUGAAGGUCCAAUCGUGAGCCCCAUCUUGGGGUCUGUGGUUAUAACAUCAGUAUCGCCACGGAUUGGCUUUGUCCUUAUGAUGUUCCCGACUUCCUGAUGUUUUCAAUAUAAUUUGCAAAAGACUCAAGACUCACUUGUUCAGAGUUAACCUAGACUCUGCAUAGCCUCCCCCCCUUAGCCCCCUCACUCCUCUUACGCACUUAUUAUAUGUUUUACGUCCUGGCACUUAAAUAUAGACCAUAGCAUUGUGUGGCAUCUUAUCCUAGCUAUCUUUGUUUUAUACAGGGAAUGGGUUAACCUAGCGAUUGUUAGUGCUUGGUUCUUCUUUGAACAACUUUACUGGUGGAGGUCUAGCCAAUUGCGUAAUUUUUUGCCCCACCCGUUGACAAAUGAGAGGUUCUAGAAUCAAGACUCUUCUAGAGUCUACAAAUAAGCAAAUGAGUAUUAGUCUAGCCUAGUCCUUCCCCCUUCCUGCUCCUUAACCACCGUUUCUGAACUCACUGUGAGUCAUUAGUUGUACUAAAUAGUAAUUGUUUGUAACUCAUAUUAAUCGAUAUGCUGUGUGUUUCCAGGACUUCCUCAUUCCCCGUCAGGAGAGCGGUCUGUCGCUGUCUACCAGACUGCUGAAGAAACUCAAAGACAUACAGUACGGGCGCGUCGCAAGUGACUGGACCUUCCUGGUGUAGGAGAAGAAGAAGGGAACACUUUCCCAUGCGCACACGCACAACAUACACACGCACGCACGCACGCACGCACGCACGCACACACACACACACACACAAUUACUAUGCAUACAUGCACCCACACUCAAACACAGACACCCACAAACCCACUCCACUAUUUAUUGUGUUUUUAUGCCACUGUCAAAGACUGUGGCAUUACAUUUUUGUGUAAAGUUUGAUUGAACAUUAAAGAAUUGAAUUGAAGUCUUAAUUGAAGUCUAAAACUCACUCACUCAGUCUCUCACUCAAUCAAAAACAGACACCCACACACCCACACAUGCACCCGCACACAGAUACACACACAAAAGCAAACACAUAAAUACAUACAUGCAUACAUACAUACAUACAUACAUACAUACAUACAUACAUACAUACAUACAUACAUACAUACAUACAUACAUACAUACAUACAUACAUACAUACAUACAUACAUACAUACAUAAAUCUAAACAGAUGUACAAACCCACACUUACAUAGACAAACCAGAAGGCCAACACUGGAUGCAGACGUUAGGGAUUGAACACAGUAGCAGCUUUCAGCUUGGACUCUAACACACAAAGAACUGUCUUAUACUAUUAGAGGUAAUGCCUGCCAAUUGCUAAACGCUCUCCCGAAUAGUCAUUUCCCUGGAACACAAACAAAUGAUUCAAACCAACCACCGCAAUAAGCAAGACCUCAAGUAGCAUCCCAUUCACAAACAAGCAAUAACAAUUAGCUUGCAAUUAGCUUAGCAUUAGCUAUGAGUUCACCCACUGGCUCCUUUAGUUCCAUUAUGAGCUCCAAUGGAUAUGCAAUCAAUUUACUUCCAAAAUAAAGGUUUCAUGUGUGUUUUAUAAUAGUUUUAUAGCAUCAGAUUUUAUAACAUUACAACCAACCAAACACCCAAAGAACUGUAACAAUUAAAAUCAAUAAAUU
ensembl:lncRNA